rnacentral:rRNA from 1 species
CGAAAAGUGAGAGCGCCACGAUCGACCGAGAGUAGUGAUGUCGAGGACAUUUCAGUUGCUGCUAGUUCUUGCACUAGUAGGAAUAGUUAGAGUGAGUGGUUCCCGCGCUCAUAAGAACGUCACCCACGGCCCGCACAGCUGCGGCGGCGUGGAUGUCCCCUACCCGUUCGCCAUCGUGGAGGAUGGCGGCGGUGGCGACUACCGCGCUGGGUCCCAUGUCAUGUGUGACGCCGGUGAGCCGGUACUGCACACCACCGGCGGCGACGGAAAGCCCGUUAAGAUCGGCAACUUCUCCAUGAAGGCGGCUGAGGCCCGCGUGUGGCUGCCUGUAGCGUGGCAGUGCUACGACUCCUCCGGCAAAGCGAAUGGGUCAGACUACAGGAACCUAGAGUUCAACGAGGAGGGCGUGUACCGCAUCUCCCACGCCAGGAACAACCCUCUUUGUCCUGGGCUGCGAAACCACGGGCUACCUCGGGAGCCAGCCGGACCAGGGCUCCGGCGAAAGCAGGUCAUACGCCCAGUUCACCGUCUGCCUCUCCUACUGCAACAACUCCGAGAGCGCGGCGAGCGGUGCCUGCUCCGGGGUAGACUGCUGCCACGUAGAAAUUCCGCCGGACCUCCAUGGCAACUGGGUGGCCUUCGUUAGCUACGACAACACCAUUAAGUUGGAAAAAAAUUAUAUGAGACCAGGUCUCACGGUUAGCAGGUGAGACCCGCCCUGAUGGAUGACACGUGACAUUUACAAAUCACAAAACAUAUAAUCUCUUCUCCUUGAUUUCAGAUGAGGAAUAGGGUAGAUGCUUUGUGAUUUGUAAAUGGCACGUGUCAUUCAUCAGGAUGGGUCUCACCCAGUAAGUUCAACUUCAGCCCCUGCGAGUAUGCGUUUGCGGCGGAGAAGCAUUACAGCUUCAACACCACCGACCUCAAGAGGGCACUGCGCGGGACCACCUGGGAGAUGCCGGUGGUCCUCGACUGGGCCAUCCGCGACAGCCCCACCUGCAAGGAGGCCAGGAAGAAGAAGGAAGGGUACGCCUGCAAAAGCUCCAACAGCCGCUGCCUCGAUUCUACCAACGGACCUGGGUACAUCUGCAACUGCCGCCGGGGCUACGAGGGCAACCCCUAUAAUGAGCGUGGUUGUAUCGAUAUAAAUGAGUGUGAGCAUCUUGACCACUAUCCUUGCAAGGGAGACUGCGAGAACAAAGAAGGUUCUUACGAAUGCACAUGCCCCAAGCACACAAAUAGUCCUAAUCCCUUCAAAGAACGUUGCAGCCAAAAUUUACCACUCGGAGCAAAGAUCAUCGUAGGUGCCAUAGGGGGUCUUUUCAUCAUAGCUAUUAUGGUGUUCUUGUGGCUUCUUCACAAAGAGAAAAGAAGGAUGAGAGACAAUUUUGAAAAGAAUGGGGGACCUAUAUUGGAAAAGAUCAAUAAUAUAAAGCUAUUCAAUAAGGAAGAUAUAAGGAAAAUUCUGAAAAAUAAGAAAAUUCUUGGAAAUGGUCGCUUUGGUACGGUUUCCAUGGGGCACACUGAGGAUAAACAAGUGGUCGCUGUGAAAGAACCCAUCAAUCGCAAAUCAACGAAUGACCAGUUUGUAAAUGAGAUCAUCAUUCAGUCUAGAGUCAUUCACAAAAACAUUGUCAAGCUCAUAGGUUGUUGCCUACAAUUUAAAGUGCCAACUUUGAUCUAUGAAUUUGUGCCCAAGGGCAGCCUCGACGAUAUUCUUCAUGGCAAGAACCAUAUGCCUCUAAAGUUGGGUCUACGUCUACAAAUUGCUGCAGAAUCAGCAGAAGGUCUAGCUUAUAUGCAUUCAAAAACAACUACAACAAUCCUCCAUGGUGAUGUUGAACCAGCUAAUAUACUUUUGAAUGAAAAGUUUAUGCCGAAGAUCUCAGACUUUGGCAUAUCAAGGUUAAUGGUCACUGAUAUGCAACACACUGGAUAUAUCAUUUUUGACAGGGCUUAUGUUGAUCCAGUAUAUAGGCAAACUGAACAAUUGACCACCAAGAGUGAUAUCUAUUUUGGAGUUGUGCUCUUGGAGCUCAUUACAAGAAAGAAAGCCUCUCACUCUGACAACAAUUUACUCGGGAACUUUCUUGAUACCUACACAAAGGACAAGUCUGUGACCGAGCUCCUGGAUAAGGAACUUCGAGAGGAUGAUCAAGAAAUUCUUGGUCAUUUAGUAGGGAUGAUUAUGCAAUGUAUAAAUCUUGACGUCAAUCAGAGACCAGAGAUGACCGAUGUCGCUGAGCGUCUUCAUGAUAUGGUGAAGAGGUUAAAUAAUAAAUAGGAUGAUCUACCAAAUGAUCAUGUGGUUUCACGGCAAGUUGAUGCAUGUUCCAGUUGAGAGACAAACAUAGAGGAAAUGAGCAUGCAUGUAGCACUUAUAUGCUUAUUGUGGGCUAUACUUGUAUUGAUACAAAAUUUCCUGAAGUACAAGUACGAUAGGUUACCCGAGAGAUGAUGUAACUAAUUAGAAUGGUUCUCUUCCAUCAGUAGAAGAGGAGAUAUUUACCUGGGCCCGAAUAAAUGUUACUGUGUCUGUAUGUGUUAUGCUUGUAAUGGUUAGUUUGUGAUUGCUUAUCUUGAUGUGGUCUUAAUUUUGUAAGAUGUUGUGGAACCUGAAAAGGCAUGGCUAGUUUAAUACAAGCCCGUGCACACAAUGUAACAACGGAAAUCGGACAAACUAAAGAAAGUCACUGUGUUGCAA